GGGGGUAUAGCUCAGCUGGGAGAGCAGCAGACUGAAGUGAGCCACUCUAAACCCAAGCUCGUUCUGAAGGUCCCGCGUUCGAUCCGCGGUACCCCCA